ensembl:lncRNA
GAGCUAGGGAGGAAGAUGGGGAGCUAGUGAGCGGUUUCAGACACAGCGUUGAUUCUUUAUUUUAGUUUCAGUUUCGAUUUGCAGUCAACGCUAUUUGUAGUCAGUGGGCGGGGCCAGCGUCUGUAAGACAAAGAACCCGGAUGUAAUGCAGGAAGGAGAAGCCUGAUGCUGUGAAGGUAGAAAAAUAAAAAGAGCCAUACCGCUAUAAACUGAUUUUUCAACCACGAUUCAGUUAAAUGAAUAAAAAAUGUGAGGAUGGGAGUCCACACCAGCUUAUGUACCUCCACCAACUCCACCAGGGUCACGGGGAAACCUGGAGCCUAUCCCAGGGAGCAUCGGGCACAAGGCGGGGUACACCCUGGACAGGGUCCCUUAUAUGAUGUCACAUGAAAUUAAGUGAUGUUAUUUAUAUCACAGUUCCUAUGCAAGGCCUUUUUAAAAUAACUGAAAAGUUUUGAUCUUCACUUAUCAGGAUUGUCCCAAUUCACCUGAAGUCACCCUGCACAUUACCUUACAGGGCUCAAUAACCGUGUUGUAUAAUU